rnacentral:rRNA from 1 species
UACGGGGGGGGGCAAGCGUUGUUCGGAAUUACUGGGCGUAAAGGGCUCGUAGGCGGCCAACUAAGUCAGACGUGAAAUCCCUCGGCUUAACCGGGGAACUGCGUCUGAUACUGGAUGGCUUGAGUUUGGGAGAGGGAUGCGGAAUUCCAGGUGUAGCGGUGAAAUGCGUAGAUAUCUGGAGGAACACCGGUGGCGAAGGCGGCGAUCCUGGACCAACACUGACGCUGAGUGAGCGAAAGCCAGGGGGAGCAAAACGGGG